rnacentral:sRNA from 1 species
ACUGGGCACGGUGGCAUGUACCUGUAAUCCCAGUGGCUCAGGAGGUGGAGGCAGGAGGAUUGCAAGUUCAAAGGCAGCCUCAGCCAUUUAGUGAGGUCCUAAUCAACAUUGCAAGACCUUGUCUCAA